rnacentral:rRNA from 1 species
UACGUAGGGGGCAAGCGUUAUCCGGAAUUAUUGGGCGUAAAGAGCUCGUAGGCGGUUUGUCGCGUCUGCUGUGAAAACCGGAGGCUCAACCUCCGGCCUGCAGUGGGUACGGGCAAACUAGAGUGCGGUAGGGGAGAUUGGAAUUCCUGGUGUAGCGGUGGAAUGCGCAGAUAUCAGGAGGAACACCGAUGGCGAAGGCAGAUCUCUGGGCCGUAACUGACGCUGAGGAGCGAAAGCGUGGGGAGCGAACAGG